UACGUAGGGUGCAAGCGUUAAUCGGAAUUACUGGGCGUAAAGCGUGCGCAGGCGGUUUUGUAAGCCAGAUGUGAAAGCCCCGGGCUUAACCUGGGAAUGGCAUUUGGGACUGCAAGGCUUGAGUGCGGCAGAGGAGACUGGAAUUCCUGGUGUAGCAGUGAAAUGCGUAGAUAUCAGGAGGAACACCAAUAGCGAAGGCAGCUCGCUGGGACGGUAUUGACGCUGAGGCGCGAAAGCGUGGGGAGCGAACAGG
rnacentral:rRNA from 1 species